rnacentral:rRNA from 1 species
GAUGAACGCUGGCGGCGUGCCUAAUACAUGCAAGUCGAGCGAACGGACGAGAAGCUUGCUUCUCUGAUGUUAGCGGCGGACGGGUGAGUAACACGUGGAUAACCUACCUAUAAGAAUGGGAUAACUUUGGGAAACCGGCGCUAAUACCGGAUGAUAUUUUGAACCGCAUGGUUCAAAAGUGAAAUACGGUCUUGCUGUCACUUAUAGAUGGAUCCGCGCUGCAUUAGCUAGUUGGUAAGGUAACGGCUUACCAAGGCAACGAUGGAUAGCCGACCCGAGAGGGUGAACGGCCACACUGGAACUGAGACACGGUCCAGACUCCGGCGGGAGGCAGCAGUAGGGAAUCUUCCGCGAUGGGCGAAAGCCUGACGGAGCAACGCCGCGUAAGUGAUGACGGUCUUCGGAUCGUAAAACUCUGUUAUUAGGGAGGAACAUAUGUGUAAGUAACUGUGCACAUCUUGACGGUACCUAAUCAGAAAGCCACGGCUAACUACGUG